UACGGGGGGGGCAAGCGUUGUUCGGAAUUACUGGGCGUAAAGGGCUCGUAGGCGGCCAACUAAGUCGGAUGUGAAAUCCCCAGGCUCAACCUGGGAACUGCAUCCGAUACUGGAUGGCUUGAAUUCGGGAGAGGGAUGCAGAAUUCCAGGUGUAGCGGUGAAAUGCGUAGAUAUCUGGAGGAAUACCGGUGGCGAAGGCGGCAUCCUGGACCGACACUGACGCUGAGGAGCGAAAGCCAGGGGAGCAAACGGGG
rnacentral:rRNA from 1 species